UGGGGUGACAUUGCAGUUUAGUAUGAAGAAUAGUUCUCAUAUUAUAUUUCUGGUCAAGCUCUCAGGCUUUAUCAAUCUAUGACUUUCGAGCCAAUUCAUCACUACUUUUAAAAAAUUUCGUAUCUCACGCUGUUCCUCAAAGUUAAAACGCAGUAAGUCUAUAUGCAUUCCAUACAUACUUACUACAAUUUUCUUUUCAUUGAUAGACGAAGAUAUGAGUUUUUUUUAAAGUAGUGACGAAUUAUUUAUGUCUCCUGAUUUUUAGGACGUGUCUUCUGAUUUUAUUCAAAUUGGACCUGGCAACACUGAAAUAAUGUCAGAAUCUUUUCUUUGACAUUAUUUACAAUUUAUAUUAUUAUACAUAAUUGGUGUUUUCACUAUUCUUAAGCUAAAAAAAAAAACACCUGUUUGUCCUCCAAAGAAUACCUUAUUGGAUUCACAGGAUGAUUGAGGAUUUGAGGGAAGCAUGUUAAGACUGUGACAAUAUGGUCUUAAGGCAGCCGGCCUCAUUGAGAACAAGAAAAUACCCUGCUUUAUGUAGCGGUUGUUAUUUGUUAAUAUGACAUGUCUCGGCAGUGUAGUGACCCUGUGCUUAAUUAAGGCUUCAGGUUCAAAUCAUGGUAAACCAAAAUGAAAGCGGCCGGUUGAAAAAGUAGCAGAGUCGAAAAUGGAAAUUAAUGAGCUGCAGAAGUAAAUUUUAGAAGAAUAAUUCUCUUCUUCUUUGUUGUAUCCUUGUGGCUGAGGGACAUGACGAAUGAGGCCAUUCUUUACCAGUGUUCUUCACGCCACUCAAUCCUGGGCCCGGUGCAUGCUAGCCUGCAGUGGUCUUUGUCAGAGACGUUAUUGUGUCUGCCCAAUGUGUGCCCAUGCUGCCACUUCUUCACUUCCUUGCCGUGUCCUGUGAUUAUGGGAAGAAUAAUAUGCAAAUAAAAACCAACAAUGGGCCAUCGAAGAACAGGAGAGGGCAUGUGGGCCUUAGAGAAAGAGUUGUUAAUGUGAAGACUAAAUAAAUUCAACAAAUAAAAUCUCAACUAUAAUACUGUCUUUGGUACACCCGCUACCAUCGCGUCAAAUAGUGAAAGUGCAGUUCAGUGUAAGCAAAGACAGUGUACAAGAUAUACCACUCACCUAUGGCAUUAGUGUUACUAGACCACAUUAAUACAUAAAGACUAUUUUUCUAAACUUGUGUAUAGCUCUGUGUUGUCUUAAUAAAUCCUAUUGGAAACAC